GUGGAUAUAGCUCAGUUGGUUAGAGCGUCGGAUUGUGGUUCCGAAGGUCGUCGGUUCGAACCCGAUUAUCCACCCCA
rnacentral:tRNA from 1 species